GACGAACGCUGGCGGCGUGCUUAACACAUGCAAGUCGAACGGUAAGGCCCUUCGGGGUACACGAGUGGCGAACGGGUGAGUAACACGUGGGUGAUCUGCCCUGCACUUCGGGAUAAGCCUGGGAAACUGGGUCUAAUACCGGAUAGGACCACUGCCUGCAUGGGUGGUGGUGGAAAGCUUUUGCGGUGUGGGAUGGGCCCGCGGCCUAUCAGCUUGUUGGUGGGGUGCUGGCCUACCAAGGCGACGACGGGUAGCCGGCCUGGGAGGGGGACCGGCCACACUGGGACUGAGAUACGGCCCAGACUCCUACGGGAGGCAGCAGUGGGGAAUAUUGCACAAUGGGCGCAAGCCUGAUGCAGCGACGCCGCGUGAGGGAUGACGGCCUUCGGGUUGUAAACCUCUUUCAGCACCGACGAAGCGCAAGUGACGGUAGUAGCAGAAGAAGGACCGGCCAACUACGUGCCAGCCGCCGCGGUAA
rnacentral:rRNA from 1 species